GAUGAACGCUGGCGGCGUGCUUAACACAUGCAAGUCGAACGAUUAAAGCCCCUUCGGGGGUGUAUAGAGUGGCGAACGGGUGAGUAACACGUGGGCAAUCUGCCCCUCACUUCGGGAUAACUCAGGGAAACUUGAGCUAAUACCGGAUACUCCGGGAUGGUCGCAUGGCCGACCCGGGAAAGCUCCGACGGUGAGGGAUGAGCCCGCGGCCCAUUAGCUUGUUGGUGAGGUAACGGCUCACCAAGGCAACGAUGGGUAGCCGAGCUGAGAGGCUGAUCGGCCACACUGGGACUGAGACACGGCCCAGACUCCUACGGGAGGCAGCAGUGGGGAAUAUUGGACAAUGGGCGCAAGCCUGAUCCAGCCAUGCCGCGUGUGUGAAGAAGGCCUUCGGGUUGUAAAGCACUUUUGUCCGGAAAGAAAUCCUUUCGAUUAAUACUCGGGAGGGAUGACGGUACCGGAAGAAUAAGCACCGGCUAACUUC
rnacentral:rRNA from 1 species